GUGUCAGCAGCCGCGGUAAUACGUAGGGUGCGAGCGUUAAUCGGAAUUACUGGGCGUAAAGCGUGCGCAGGCGGUUAUACAAGACAGGCGUGAAAUCCCCGGGCUUAACCUGGGAAUGGCGCCUGUGACUGUAUAGCUAGAGUGUGUCAGAGGGGGGUAGAAUUCCACGUGUAGCAGUGAAAUGCGUAGAUAUGUGGAGGAAUACCAAUGGCGAAGGCAGCCCCCUGGGAUAACACUGACGCUCAUGCACGAAAGCGUGGGGAGCAAACAGGAUUAGAUACCCUGGUAGUCCACGCCCUAAACGAUGCUGACUAGUUGUUGGGAAUUUACAUUCUCAGUAACGUAGCUAACGCGUGAAGUCAGCCGCCUGGGGAGUACGGUCGCAAGAUUAAAACUCAAAUGAAUUGGCGGGG
rnacentral:rRNA from 1 species